AAGAUUCACCUUGGAGCUAGAACAGGGACGUGCACAUGAUUAUACAGGGGCAGGGGCUCAAGUUUUUUCCAGUCAUUUAUACAAUAUGGAAAUUAAUGUGAAAUUAAAAAACAAAGUAUUAAUAGAAAGGUUAUGACUGUCCUGUGUAGAUGACAGUGAUAUCCAAUAGGCUAGGCACUCACGAGGCUGGCUGUGGCAAGUGUAAGUGAAAGCAACACGCACUGGCAGGAAGAACAGCAAACGCCGAUGAAGGAAAAGGGUCUUUGCAGUGAUGGGCGUUACCAGAGAGGGCGAUGGCCAGAGGAAACAAAUGGGACGGGGAGGCAGCGCGUUGGGGGGGGACGCGACACAGCUCGGGCCCGCCAGUGCCCCAACGGGGUCCUAGUUAGGGCCCGAGCGUAGCUGCUAAGCAGCUGCGAGAGCCCUCUUGUUCCUGAUGGAUUCUUCUUUCGUUAUUUUUCCUCCGCUUUAAACUGGAAAAUGGCCCACUUCCCACUGGCGAAAACUCAGGAAAUUUGGCAGGACGACCGGGCCUGGUGAAAAAUUUGAUAUUCUGAAGUCGCCCAAACAAAAAAAUGAAAAAUGGCUCCAUAGCGCCCCCUAUGGUGAAAACUCACCUGACGCCUGUACGCUUUGUCAAAAUGACACAAAAUUUGACACACAUGUGUAUCUCAAUAAGAUCUACAAAAAAGUCAGUGCGGGCGUAUCUGUCAAAUGUACGGUUAAAGGGCUAUUUCGCAUUUUUUGCCGAUCCGCACACAUUGGAAUUUCGCUAACUCCUCCGAAGGCUUUCGUUCCACCGGCACCAAAUUUGCUCAGGCCAAUCUACACCCCAUGGCCAUUCAAAGUUGUACAAAUCAUGACGUUGCACCCCACGGUUUAUGUUCUAGGGGGCGCCAAAGAUAACCCAAAAAUCCACAUUCUUAAAAGUCUUAUUACUUUUUAUUUUUGUCCUCACUGGCCUCCAAGUUUUCGAGGAUGAUGCUAUGUCCAGCCAUCAACACAUGUGUGAAGGAAUUUUUACUCCCCAAAAGAGCGCCCCCCCCAUGGCAGGAGAAAAAAGUCAAUUUUUUCUUGUCCCCUAAGGUGAAAAUACACAUUGUUGAGUGUCACGCCUGAACUCUUUGUCAUAUUGACACAAAAAUUAACAAUCAUGUGUAUCUCAAUUAGAUCUACGAAAAAGUCAAAGAGCGCGUAUCUGUAUAAUGUACGGUAAAAGGGCUAUUUUGCAUUUUUUGCCGAUUCGCACACAUUGGAAUUUCGCUAACUCCUCCGAAGGCUUUCGUCCCACUGACACCAUAGUUGCUCAGGCCAAUCUACAACCCAUGGCCAUUCAAAGUUGUACAAAUCAUGACGCUGCACCCCACGGUUUAGGUUCUAGGGGGCGCCAAAGAUAACCCAAAAAUCCACAGUCUUAAAAGUCUUAUUACUUUUUAUUUUUGUCCUCACUGGCCUCCAAGUUUUCUAGGAUGAUGCAAUGUCCAGCCAUCAACACAUUUGUGAAGGAAUUUUUACUCCCCAAAAGAGCGCCCCCCCAUGGCAGGAGAAAAAGUCAAGUUUUUCCUGCCCAUCGCUCAAUGGCUCAAACGCAUCGCUCUCUCGGCAAAACCGAAAGGAGGAGCAACUUGCCAUUUGGAUAUAUACUAGCUGUGUUUGUGCCCUCACUCAUGGUCCAGACUUUUUUCAAAAAGGACAUGGAGUUUGUCUGCAGCGAGCGUUUUGGUAGAAACUGCGCCUCCCAUUCAUUAUAAUGGUAAAUGACCACAGACAAGUGCGCACACCAUCUUUGGACCUUGAGUGUGACGCGAUCGGGAGGGGUAGGCGGUCGCACUGGGGGCGGCGCGACACGGCUCGGGCCCGCCAGUGCCCCACCGGGGCCCUAGUUAGGGCCCGAGCGUAGCUGCUAAGCAGCUGCGAGAGCCCUCUUGUUCCUGAUGGAUUCUUCUUUCGUUAUUUUUCCUCCGCUUUAAACUGGAAAAUGGCCCACUUCCCACUGGCGAAAACUCAGGAAAUUUGGCAGGACGACCGGGCCUGGUGAAAAAUUUGAUAUUCUGAAGUCGCCCAAACAAAAAAAGGAAAAAUGGCUCCAUAGCGCCCCCUAUGGUGAAAACUCACCUGACGCCUGUACGCUUUGUCAAAAUGACACAAAAUUUGACACACAUGUGUAUCUCAAUAAGAUCUACAAAAAAGUCAGUGCGGGCAUAUCUGUCAAAUGUACGGUUAAAGGGCUAUUUCGCAUUUUUUGCCGAUCCGCACACAUUGGAAUUUCGCUAACUCCUCCGAAGGCUUUCGUUCCACCGGCACCAAAUUUGCUCAGGCCAAUCUACACCCCAUGGCCAUUAAAAGUUGUACAAAUCAUGAUGCUGCACCCCACGGUUUACGUUCUAGGGGGCGCCAAAGAUAACCCAAAAAUCCACAUUCUUAAAAGUCUUAUAACUUUUUAUUUUUGUCCUCACUGGCCUCCAAGUUUUCUAGGAUGAUGCAAUGUCCAGCCAUCAACACAUUUGUGAAGGAAUUUUUACUCGCCAAAAGAGCGCCCCCCCAUGGCAGGAGAAAAAAGUCCAUUUUUUCUAGUCCUCUAAGGCGAAAAUACACAUUGUUGAAUGUCACGCCUGUACGCUUCGUCAUAUUGACACAAAAUUUGACAAUCACGUGUAUCUCAAUAAGAUCUACGAAAGAGUCAAUGCGCGCGUAUCAGUAAAAUGUACGGUUAAAGGGCUAUUUCGCAUUUUUUGCCAUUUCGCACACAUUGGAAUGUGGCUAACUCCUCCUAAGGCUUUCGUCCCACUGACACCAAAUUUGCUCAGGCCAA